GCUGGUGGGUUCUUCUUCAUCUCUCCUUUCUUUUUAUUCAAUUUUUGUGUUUUAAAUCUAUUGAUUUCUUUUUAUGUUUAUCUAUUUAUCUCUCUUUCGGGUGAGUUGUAGUCCAGUUCCUCUUUUCUUUUUGCUUAGUUUUUUUUUUUUUUUUUUUUUUUUUUUUUUUUUUUUUUGUGUUUGUUUGAACGGGAGUGUUGAUCUGUAUGCGCUUGGGCGUGUGAGUAUAGUGUACUGCAUGUGUUUUUGAGACUAAUUUUUUAAGAGUUUGUCCCUUUUUUGUCUGAGUGUACAGGGCAUGUGUUUUUUUUUUUGAGUCUUUACUCUGUUAGUUGUUUUGUGCAAUUUUUAUUUGUUAUUUAUAAUUGUGUGUAUAUGUUUGCUCCGUACUCUUUUUGAAUAAUGUCUUGCCAUAAAUUUUAUGCGCCUGUUAGUUAUUGUCCGGAUAUGCAGUAUGUCUUUUUGAUGAUUUUUCCUUUCUUACUAACAAUUAAUUAGAAGUGGACUAUGCACCCAAGGGGCUUGAUGAUAUGUCUGCAAAAGGUGAAUCUGAACUUAUAUAUUCUGUUAGGCUUUUAGUCACGACUCUCUACUGGUUUUGCGAUGACAUUAUUAACCUGUGAAGUAAUCCAUGUUGGACAGAAGAACCCAUAAAGAUAUGCAUGUUCAUUAUCACUUUGAAUCAAGAAAUUAGAAGGUUGUCAACAUAGUUACCUUAAGUCUCAUGGAUGAAGAAAAUUAUAUUGCAUUUGGUUUAGAACGUCAUAUAGCAAAGCAUCAAGUUCAAUUAUUCAGCCAAUGAUAAAGUCAGGAAUAGGAGGAUGGGUGGCUUGUUGAAGCUCAAAUUCAAGAGCUGUGUAUGUACUUUUAUGGCAUUAAGACUAAAAACACAGUGCAAAACUUAUAUCGGGCCCUGUAAUUUGAAAUGUUAUGUGUCUCUUUUACCAAUUUACGUGAUUGAAAACUUUCUCUCUCAACAGCUCAGGGUAUGUACUUUUAUGGCAUUUAUAACUAAAAGCACGAUGUAAUAUAAGUUGGUCAACUCUAGGGGCUCUUUAGUUUAUUCGCUCUACUUGAUAGCUCUGAUGUAUACUUUUUUCUUGUAGAUAAAUUUGAAAUGGAAUGUAACUGCGAGAUAUGUUCCUUUGUUGGAUUUGACGGUGAGCCAACCUUCUGUUCAUUAUGUUUUUCGCUCUAGAAUAUAACUCUUUUUCUUACUUCGAUUGGGUGUUUGGAAAUAUAUGUACUUCUUGUGGUUGUUGAAAAAGUUACCAGCAUAUCACUUUAUAGAAUUUUUCCACAUUUGAUUAUCGAAUUCUCUGAAUUAUAUCUGACUUUGCAUGGAUCUUGAGAUUACCGAUCUUGCAGAUCACAAUACAGUGGUUCGGGCUGUAGUAUAGUCGUCUCAAUUUGUUGACACUUCUACCCCUUCGAUACUGUUCAACAAAAUUCCCCAGUAUAAGGAAAACAUAUAUAUGUCAUAAAGAGAAAUGGGCAUCAAGAAUCAAGUCAUUUUAAAAAAUAUCAUUCCUAGGUUGAAGAAGCUGAGUUAUUGGCUCAAACACCGAUCAUUUCACCUGGUGGUUGUGUCUCAAAAGAAUUCUGGUGGUAUUAUCAAGGGUGUUGCCACCGGUCUGCUUAAUGAAUUGGCCGUUGAGACUUCUGCUUGCAUAACUUCUUAUUAUCUUGAUGAUGCAUGCGUAGAUCCUAAUUCACUAUACUAUUCUUGAUAAUGUGUGUUUCUGAAUUUAUUGUCUUAGGGCACGGGCACCAGUAUUCUGUUUAGAAGUUUAGUUUUCAGUCAUAGUUUGUCAAAUUAAAUAUUUAAUUCGAGGACAAGAUAUAAUAAUAAGUACUGUUUUUCGGUAGGAGGAUUUUUAUGCAUGGCACGAUCCUAUUACAAUUUACAAUACAUAUGCUAAGAUGAAUGAAUUAUUUUAGGUUGUGCAAGUUUAUUUUAAAGGUGGAAUACUUAGACGUUUUAGCUGCACAUGUAAGAAAUCAAGAUAUCUUUUGCCUGCACAGUUUUCUCGAUGAAAUUUAGGCUUUCUUUUGAGUCACAUAAAAUUUUAAAAAUGACUGACGUGAGAUCUAAUUUCCCUGACUCUUUAUAUGCUGGCAAUUUACCUAUAUAAGUCUUAUUAGUCACCAUGUAAUGUAUGCACUGAUAAAGGCCUUUUCGGGAGGCACGUUCAGUUAUGACGAUGCAAGAAAAGCUUCAUAUAUAGUUUAGCCAUCUGUACGCCAGUCUCAGUGAAGCAGCUAGCAACGUCGUUUGCCCGAGAAUAUCCUCUUAUAUCACACUGUCUAGGAGAAUCUCCUGAGGUUGACCUAAUAUAGUUGACCAGAGUACCUUAUUGACUACUUUCUUAUUGUAGUAUAUUCACAUUUGUUUCUGCAUCAGAAUUUUUCAAAAUGAGCAACUGGAGGAAGGCGAUGUGUAAUUGACACAAAGACGUGAAGGAUCCUUAAAUAUAACAUUUCGAGGAAAUUACAACUGAAGGAACCAUAAGCUUGCUUCUCGACUUUCAGGUUGAGCAGAAGGAUGUAGAUUGUGCCAAUAUCACCCUUCAGUUUACGGUAAUAGACAAGUCAUCUUGUUUACAUUUACCUCAUCUCAAAUAGGAUGAUAGAAUCACCAAAGCUAAGUAGGGAGAAGUAAAUCACUGUUCGUACACUCCCUCGGAUCAAAGUGUAACUUUGCUGGUAGAUGAAUAAAUGCAGGGAUUUUUUAUUUAUUUAUAUUUUU